rnacentral:rRNA from 1 species
GACGAACGCUGGCGGCGUGCUUAACACAUGCAAGUCGAACGGAAAGGCCCUGCUGUUGUGGGGUGCUCGAGUAGCGAACGGGUGAGUAACAAGUGAGUAACCUGCCCUUGACUUUGGGAUAACUUCAGGAAACUGGGGCUAAUACCGGAUAGGAGCUCCUGCUGCAUGGUGGGGGUUGGAAAGUUUCGGCGGUUGGGGAUGGACUCGCGGUUUAUCAGCUUGUUGGUGGGGUAGUGGCUUACCAAGGCUUUGACGGGUAGCCGGCCUGAGAGGGUGACCGGCCACAUUGGGACUGAGAUACGGCCCAGACUCCUACGGGAGGAAGCAGUGGGGAUUAUUGCACAAUGGGCGGAAGCUGGAUGCAGCAACGCCGCGUGCGGGAUGACGGCCUUCGGGUUGUAACCCGCUUUCGCCUGUGACGAAGCGUGAGUGACGGUAAUGGGUAAAGAAGCACCGGCUAACUACGUG